rnacentral:rRNA from 1 species
ACUCAAAGGAAUUGACGGGGACCCGCACAAGCGGUGGAUGAUGUGGUUUAAUUCGAUGCAACGCGAAAAACCUUACCCACCUUUGACAUGGCAGGAAGUUUCCAGAGAUGGAUUCGUGCUCGAAAGAGAACCUGCACACAGGUGCUGCAUGGCUGUCGUCAGCUCGUGUCGUGAGAUGUUGGGUUAAGUCCCGCAACGAGCGCAACCCUUGUCAUCAGUUGCUACGAAAGGGCACUCUGAUGAGACUGCCGGUGACAAACCGGAGGAAGGUGGGGAUGACGUCAAGUCCUCAUGGCCCUUAUAGGUGGGGCUACACACGUCAUACAAUGGCCGGUACAAAGGGUAGCCAACCCGCGAGGGGGAGCCAAUCCCAUAAAGCCGGUCGUAGUCCGGAUCGCAGUCUGCAACUCGACUGCGUGAAGUCGGAAUCGCUAGUAAUCGUGGAUCAGCAUGUCACGGUGAAUACGUUCCCGGGUCUUGUACACACCGCCCGU